AUUGAACGCUGGCGGCAGGCCUAACACAUGCAAGUCGAACGAGUGGCGGACGGGUGAAUAAUGUCUGGGAAACUGCCUGAUGGAGGGGGAUAACUACUGGAAACUGUAGCUAAUACCGCAUACCAUCGGAUGUGCCCAGAUGGGAUUAGCUUGUUGGUGGGGUAACGGCUCACCAAGGCGACGAGCCCUAGCUGGUCUGAGAGGAUGACCAGCAAAACUGGAACUGAGCAACGGUCCAGACUCCAACGGGAGGCAGAAGUGGGGAAUAUUGUAUAAUGGGAGCAAGCCUGAUGCAGCCAUGCCGGGUGUAUGAAGAAGGCCCUCGGGUUUUAAAGUCCUUUGAGCGGGGAGGCGUUACCCGAAGAAGAAGCACCGGCUAACUCCGUGCCAGCAGCCGCGGUAAUAC
rnacentral:rRNA from 1 species